rnacentral:tRNA from 1 species
GCCCAAGUGGUGGAAUUGGUAGACACGCUAUCUUGAGGGGGUAGUGGCGACAGCCGUGCCGGUUCGAGUCCGGCCUUGGGCACCA